UAUUCUUUUCCCCAAAACCAAACCCUAGAACACAAAUUACAAUUUACUCAAAUCCGAAAAACUCAUUUGAUUCCUCGAGGGAACAAUUCAAUUUAUGACCAACGUCUUCAUAAGCCGGAAAAUUGCUUCAAUUUAAAAUAAAAAAAGUUCAUGAUUAUACGGUGUCCCAAAUGGUACAUGGAAGGGAUGACGACGACGACGACGACGACAACAACAACAACAAGAAGAAGAAGAAGAAGCCACGGGAAAUCCCACAAGUGGGGUCUGGGGAAGUGCAUGGAAGGGAUGGUCUCCACUUAUUUGAGCCACCAAUAAGUAUUCAUUCAAUCAGUAUUUCUCCAAACAAGUAUAUUCAGAAGAAACAGGAUAACUUCUGUAUUAUGUUUGUGAAAAUCUGCACACUGAAACCAAUCAACCUGGUUUGGAUAAAAUAGCUCAGCAUUUCAAGUGAUGAUAAUUCCUGGUUAUGAGAUUUGUAAUCAUUGGCAACUGAUACAUGUGGUUUCUGUAGGUCCAGUUUCCUUCCUUGUUCUACUAAAUGGCUGACAGCUGCUUUAGGAGUCCAUUAUUAUAUGCAAGAACCACAAUGCGAAUAUCAAAGCUCUAGUGCCUCUUCAUCUAGUCUGAGAUUAAAGCAGUACAGGAGACAACAUCUCUUUCUGGCAGGCCUUCAAGAACACAUCGAGCGUCGAUUCUAAAGGACUCUUGACCACAAAACACAGUGGAUUUGUCUCCCAAAGUGAAACCUAACUGCACCACUACAUGAUGUAAACACCAUUGCAACACUCAUUUAGCUCAGUACCUCAGGUUAUGAUCUACUGAAAGGACCAAAAAUGAAAGCUUUCAAGAGUGAACCCAAUAGAUUACCAUACUUUUUUAACAUUAAGUGGUCCACUAAAUUAUCGACUGAAUGAUUCGAAAGAAGUAAGAAUUUCUCAAA